rnacentral:lncRNA from 1 species
CAAAUAGAGGAAAACAAAAAGAUUGCAUGGAAUAUUUUUCUUAUUCAUUUCAUAACUCCUAAACAGAGUUUUAUUUAACAGAAACACUAACAAUAUUCCUAAAACCAAGCCAAUGAAUUCAAAAAUAAAACAGUAGCAACAAAAUCCUAUAGACUAUGUCUUUUAUCACCAGCUAAGUUCCUUUAUUCCAGCAUGUUCGACAUGUACAGCAGCUUUUUAUGGCAAUCUGUUAACACUCCUCGUUGCCUUAAUAGCUGUAGAGAUCCAAUUUGUUUCUUAACUCUUCUAAUCCAACUUUGAUAAGGAUUUGGUAAAUAUUACGCCACUUGAUUCUCAGUUCUGCAAUAAAGCAGAUUAACCUCCCCCUUUUCUGCACUUUUCUUAGGUAAUAUAACUUAAUGUUGAGGUGCUUAGUCUUCCAAUGAAAAACAUAAUUAUUUGCCAUUGAAAUUGCAGCUUGAUUGUCUAUAUGAACCUGUGUAGGCUUAUCCUGCUCUAUGUAUAAAUCUACAAGCAAUUUUUUGAUCCAGAUUGCUUGAUUCACCACAGCAAUUGCUACUACAUACUCGGCUUCUACUGUACUUUGAGCCACUAUGUCUCGUUUCUUUGAACCCCAUGUGAACAUUCCUGAUGUAAAAUUGAAAUAGAAACUAGUUGUACUCCUCAUAUCAUCAACAGAACCGGCCCAGUCAUUAUCAGUAAAUCCAUGAAACAUAAAAUUCUAACAGUAACUGUAUUUGAUGCCAUAGUUCAUUGUCCCUAUGAUAUAUCUUAGGACACUCUUUGCAGCUUGAAAAUGUACUUCAUUGCCACCAUGCAAGAAUCUUGAAAGUAAACUCACAGCAAACAUGAUGUCAGGUCUAGUUGCUGUAAAUACAUUAGGCAACCAAUCAAGGUUCUGUAGAGUCCUUCGUCAACCUUGUUUGCUCCAUCAUUCUUUCUAAACUUCUCCUUUUAAUUCAAUGGUGUACUUGUACUCUUGCAAUCUUCCAUAUGAAAUUUUUUAAGUACUUCCUUUGCACAUUUCUUUUGACAUAUGAAGACUCCAUCAUGACUUUGCUUCACUUCCAUUCCCACAAAAUAGGACAUCAACCCAAGAUCUAUCAUCUCAGGCUUUGAGCAUUUCAGCUUAAAAUUCUUGUAUCAGCUUUUCAUCGCUGCCUGUUACAAGUAAAUCAUCAACAUAAAUAAAAAGUAAUAUCACAUUAGCAUCUGCUCCUUUUAUAUACAAGGUGACCUCAAUUGGACUUUUAACAAAGUGAAGAGUUUCCAAGUGUUCAUCAAUCUUGCUAUACGAAGCUCUAGGAGCCUAUUUAAGACUAUACAAUGCUUUCUUUAACAAGUGGACCUUCUCCUCUUGUCCUUUGACUUGAAAACCCUCGGCUACUCUACAAAUAUCUCCUCCUGCAAAUAACCAUUUAAAAAGGCAAAUUUUACAUUCAAGUGGUAAACAUUCUGUUGAUAUUUAUUUGUCACUUUUGUUGUCAUAUUUUGUAGUACUCUUUAUAUUAAAAGUCAAGUCCAUGUAAUGUUAUUUUUGGUACUUAAUCUAUCAUUUACAGCAUGAUUUUUUUAAUAUGUCAACAAGUAAAGUAUAGUAAGUAAGAGUGGUUGACUAGAAGUAUGGUUGAAAUCUAUUGUAUUAUAUAUCAGUAUGGCGGCUUGUUUUGUAUGUAUGAAGAACUCUUUUUCAUCUCAAAAUAUAUCUAUUUUUCUUCAUCUUUAAAAUAUAUAUCCUUCAGUGGUAUCAAAGCUAUCUAAGUGAUCUUAGAGGCAAAAAAAAAACAGGUAGAAAGAUAGGAAAAAAGAGAAAACAAGAGAGGUAACUUUUAACUCAAUUUUAAAUAUUCAGCUGUGUACUUUUUCAAAGGCAAGAAGGAGAUGGUUUCAACCGGUUUUUCAGCUCCAUUACCAUCAGUUUUCACAGGAGAAAACUAUGAUUUCUGGGCUGCUAAAAUGAAAGUCUACCUCAAAACUUAUGAUCUGUGGGAAAUUACUGAAAUUGGAUCUGAACCUGAUGCGAACCCGAUCAGCAAGGUUGCAAUCGAACCCACAGGAUAUUGAAUCGAAUCCCAAAAACGUCAAUAUGACCAAGGUUUAUGGAUCUGACCCCAAAAUAGUGAACCAAGCAACCCAAGAAGAACGUUGCUUUAAAGACCUCUUGAUCACACAAUUGAAGAAAUCACACCCGGAUUGUGGAUUUGAACCAAUAAAAGAUGAACCAAAAAAUCCAACGGUAACGUUGACGCGAAAGACCCCUUGAUUACACAAUUCAAUGAUUCAAUCCAAUAUUUUGAACGCCACAAGAUGAUUAGUCUUGAUAAGUUCGCCUCAUUCAAUUUAAUGAACAAAAUAAAUUUGAAGCAAAGCUUCGAAGAGGAAAAUCUCUCAUUAAUUCAUAAUCAAACUUAUUCCAAUGAAUCAUAAAACUCCUAUUUAUGCUAAAGAAUAUAAAACCUAAUUUAAAAAGGAAUAAACUCCUAAAAUAUUGUAAAACACGAAAUUAGAGUCCUAAUAAUAUUAAAGUUACCAAAAAUAAGAAAUUGACUCAAAACAAAUCUUCUCGCACGGAAAGGAAAAUUUCUGGCCGAAAAUCACCUAUGCGACUGCGACGUGUAUUUAGCUGCGAUCGCAUGGCAUAUGGACUGCUGCCCGUGAAAUCCCUGCACCCUCUCAUGCGGCCGCACGGACCAUGCAGUCGCAUGGUUACUUGGUUUUUGCUCCAAACUCGAUUUUCUUCCAACAACUUGAUUCAAUUGGUUUUCAUCCUUCAACCUCAAUACAAAUCCUAGACUUUGGCUUGUUGACUCCACCAUAUCGAAAUCCAUAACUCGACUAUGUAUUUAUACGGGUUUGUUGGCCCGAACGAAGCUUGAAUCUUGUCCUUAGGUUCCCUCCAACAUACAUCAAAUCCUUGGUCGUUUGGCGCCCAAGCCGAAUCACAUCAGAACCUCCUCCACUCAGGACCAAUCCAACUAUAGCUCAACUCAAGCAACAUAGUGAGGAAUUUGCAAAGAAGUUCAAGGCACUCUCUUGCAUUCAGUUAGUCGUGUCUGAUGCAAUAUUCACUAAAAUUAUCACCUGUGAGACGGCUAAGGAAGCAUGGGACAGGCUGCAAGAGGAAUUCAGGGGAAAUGCUAGGACUAGACAGAUGCAAGUCCUGAACUUGAGAAGAGAAUAUGAAAGCCUGAAGAUGAAGGAGUCAGAAACAGUUAAGGAUUUUUCUGACCGGCUGAUGAAGGUUGUGAACAAAAUAAGGUUGCUAGGAGAUGAUCUACCUAAUAGGAGAAUAGUGGAAAAGGUAUUGAUAAGCUUACCAGAAAAAUUUGAGGCUAAGAUAUCGUCACUUGAGGAUUCAAGAGAUCUUUCAUCCAUAACUCUAGCUGAACUGGUAAAUGCUCUUCAUGCCACUGAACAGAGGAGGCUGUUGAGGCAAGAAGAACAGGUCGAGGGAGCCUUGUUUGCUAAGAGAAAGUACAAAGCACAAGCAAGUCUUGGUAUGAAAAAGGCAGGACUUGAGAAAAAGAAGGUAGAGGGCAGCAAGUCUGCUGAUAAGACCAGUUCAUAUCCACCGUGUCCUCAUUGCAAAAAGUCUGGACACUCACCCAAAUGGUGCUAGUAUAGACCAAGAGUCCAGUAUCGAAAUUGCAAGCAAUUUGGUCAUGUGCAAAAGGUGUGUAAAUCACAAAAAGAAAAGCAGGACAAGCAGCAGGCUCAAAUGGCAAAUGAUCAGUUGCAACACCAGGAGGAGCACCUCUUCACUGCCAAUAAUUUCAAAGCCUGCAGCAGUGAUAAAACAUGGCUACUAGAUAGUGGUUGCACACACCAUAUGGUAUCUAAUUCAAGCACCUUUGUUGAAUUAAACCGAACAUACAAAUCAAGGGUAAGAGUAGGCAAUGGAGAUUAUGCAGAAGUAGAAGGGAUUGGAGUGAUUGCUGUACACACUCCAUUAGGUAUGAAACAUGUUUCUGAUGUCAUAUAUGUGCCUAAUAUUGACCAAAACUUAGUGAGUGUAGGUCAAUUAAUUGAAAAGAACUACACAUUGAUAUUCAAAAAUGCUGGUUGCACCAUAUUUGAUCCCAUUGGAAAUGAGUUAAUGUCAAUACAAAUGAAGCAAAGAAGUUUCCCACUAGAUUGGAAUAAUGUGACAUCUUAUGCAUAUACUGGCAGUGAGUUAGAGUCUACUCUAUGGCACAAACGUUUUGGACAUGUUUACACCUCACUCAAGCAAUUAAACCAACUUGAACUGGUUGAAAAUCUGCCAAACAUAUGUGAUGAAGGGUGUGUUUGUAAAGUGUGCCAAUUGAGAAAGCUGACCAGGAUGUCUUUUCCUAAAAAUCAAUAAAAAAGAGCUUCAAUUAAACUGGAAUUGGUUCACUUAAAUGUGUGUGGUCCAAUGAAAACACAAACUCCAAAUGGUAAUCGAUAUUUUGUGCUCUUUAUUGAUGAUUUAACUAGGAUGACUUGGAUGUUUUUUCUGAAAAUGAAGUCUGAAGUGGCUGCUGUAUUUCAAAAAUUCAAAAGGCAGGUGGAAAAUGAAUGUGACAGUAAGAUAAAAGCCAUAAGAAGUGAUAAUGGGACCGAGUACAAGUGUGAGCAAUUUGAUAAAUUUUGUGAUGAUGUGGGGAUCAAACACCAAUUGACCAUUUCUUAUUCUCCUCAGCAGAAUGGGGUAUGUGAGAGGAAGAAUAGAACCAUAAUGGAAAUGGCUAGGUGCUUGAUGCUUGAAAAGAAUGUACCUCAUGAGUUUUGGGCAAAGGCAGUGAAUACAGCAGUGUAUUUGCUGAACAGGUUGCCAACAAAGGCAUUGAAGAAAAUAGCUCCUUUUGAAGCAUGGAAUGGAGUUAAACCAAAUGUCAACCAUUUGAAGGUAUUUGGGAGCAUUUGCUACACUCAUAUACCUAGUGUCAAGAGGGAUAAAUUAAGUCCUAAGGCUGAAGUAGGAAUUUUGGUUGGUUAUUGUGACAAUGCCAAAGGAUAUAGGGUCUUCAAUCCACAUACCAGAAAAAUGUUGUCCAGCAGGGAUAUCAAAGUUGAUGAGAGCUCAUCAUGGAAUUGGGAAGAAAAUGUGGUUGAUAAAUCUCAAACUCCUAAGCUUAUGGUUCAAAAUGAUGACACUACCACCAAUGAUGUUGAACCAAAUGAAGCUAAACCAGAAGCACAACCAGAUGGUGGAUCAGAUUCAGAAAAUGAAGUAUUGAGAACUAGAUCCCUUGCUGAUAUAUAUGCUAGGUGUAAUGCAGCCAAACUGGAACCUUCAAACUUCAAUGAGGCUGUGAACUCACUUGAUUGGUUGGCUGCAAUGAAGGAAGAGAUUGGGAUGAUUGAGAAAAAUGGAACUUGGGUGUUAGUUGACAGACCAAAGCACAAAAAUGUGAUAGGAGUGAAGUGGGUGUUCAAGACCAAACUGAACUCCGAUGGUUCAGUCAACAAGUUCAAAGCAAUGCUAGUUGUAAAGGGUUAUGCUCAAUAAUAUGGAGUUGAUUAUACUAAUACUUUUGCACCUGUAGCAAGGUAUGAAACUAUUAGACUCCUUUUGGCAAUAGCUGCACAAAGAGGCUGGAGCAUUCAUCAUUUGGAUGUCAAAUCAGCUUAAAUGGAUGGCUAGAUGAGGAGAUAUAUGUUGAACAACCAGAUGGAUUUAUUGUUAAUGGAAAUGAAGAUAAAGUGUAUCUUUUGAAGAAGGCCUUGUAUGGUUUAAAAUAGGCACCAAGGGCCUGGUAUAGUCGAAUAGAUGAGCAUCUAUGCUGCCUUGGUUUUAUCAAGAGUGUAAAUGAAUAAACACUCUAUAUAAAGCAAGUGGAGGAAGAAGUUACUGUCAUUUCUUUAUAUGUUGAUGAUCUGCUGGUGAUUGGAAGCAAUCAACACUCAGUUGACAUUCUGAAAGGUGAGAUGAAAGAGGCUUUUGAGAUGACAGAUUUGGGGAAAAUGAAAUAUUUCCUUGGAAUGGAAAUAAAUCAAACCGAUAAUGGAAUUUUUGUAAGCCAAGGGAGAUAUGCUGAGGAAGUUUUAAAGAAGUUUAGCAUGGAAAAUUGUAAAUCAGUAAGCACUCCCUUGAUUCAAAACGUAAAGCUAAUGAAAGAGGAUGGCAGCAAGAUGACUGAUGAAAAAAUGUAUAAAAGUCUGGUAGGAUGUCUUUUGUACCUAACUCUCACAAGACCAGACCUCACAUUUGCUACCAACUUUGCUUUCCAGAUACAGACAAGAGCCAACUGAUCAACACUUUCAAGCUGCCAAAAGGGUUCUCAGGUAUAUCAGAGGAACAACAGGUUUUGGAAUCUGGUUUAGGAGGUCUAAGAAUUGUGUUUUGAUAGGCUAUACUGACAGUGAUUGGGCCGGAUCAUAUGAUGAUAUUAAGAGCACAUCGGGGUAUGUAUUCUACCUGGGAUCAAGUCCAGUUUGCUGGAACUCCAUCAAGCAAAAAAUCGUGGCGCAAUCAACAGCUGAAGCAGAGUAUGUGGCUGCUUCUGAAGCUGCAAACCAAGCAAUCUGGUUAAGGAAAGUUCUUGAGGAUUUGAACCAUAAACAAGCUGAAGCAACUGUGAUCCAUUGUGACAAUCAAUCUGCAGUUGCUAUGGUUAAAAAUCCAGUUUUCCAUGGUAGAACAAAACAUAUCAAGAUAAGGUACCAUGCUACUAGAGAAGCUCAAGAGAACUUUGAAGUGAAGAUGGUACAUUGCAAUUCAAAAGUCCAAUUUGCUGAUAUUCUAACUAAAAGCCUGUCAAAAGAAAGGUUUGAAAUACUAAGGAAAUGUCUUGGUGUUUCCAACAAAAGUGUCAAGGAGGAGUGUUGAUAUUUAUUUGUCACUUUUGUUGUCAUAUUUUGUAGCACUCUUUAUAUUAAAAGUCAAGUCCAUGUAAUGUUAUUUUUGGUACUUAAUCUACCAUUUACAGCAUGGUUUUUUUAAUCUAUCAAUAAGUAAGGUGUAGUAAGUAGAAGUGGUUGACUAGAAGUAUGGUUGAAAUCUAUUGUAUUAUAUAUCAGUAUGGCAACUGGUUUUGUAUGUAUGAAGAACUCUUUGUCAUCUGAAAAUAUAUCUAUUUUUCUUCCUCUUUGAAAUAUAUAUCCUUCACAUUCCAUCCAUUCAGUGCUAUCAAAGCUAGCAAUAUUUUGAUUGUAUCAAGUCAUGCUACUGGAGCAAAAGUCCUUGAGAAAUCUACUCCAAACACUUGAGCAUAUCCUUUCACAGCUAAUCUGGCUUUGCAUUUGUUUACAGAACCAUCUGCAUUAAAUUUGGUUCUAUAAAUCCAUUUAACUUGUAUAGGCUUUUUGUGUUGAGGUUUGGCUACCAACUUCUUGGUAACAUUAUUUUCAAUCAUUCUGAGCUCCUCUUUCAUUGUUUCAAUCCACUUGUCAUCCUUCUCCACCUCCUUAAACUCUGGAGGCUCAAAAAUAGCAAUAUUACAUCUUUCAUAAAUAUCAUAUAAUAACCUUGUACCUCUGACUAGUUCAUCAUCUAUGUUAUCACCAAUGCUUUGUCAAAUUUCUGACUGUUGCUUCUCUAUUGACCCCUCACAAUUCCAUUGUCUAUCUUCCAUGAACUUGACAUCUCUACUUACAAGAAUUUUUCCAUUUUGAGGUUGUAAAAUCCUGUAAGCUUUGGAUGAGCUGCUAUAUCAAUAAAAACUUCCGAUUUUGUCUUCUUGUCAAGUUUGUCUCUUUUCACCCGUGGCACAUAAGAAAAACAGAGGCAACCAAAAGUUCUUAAAUGUUGCAAGUCUACUUUUUAACCAAACCAAGCUUCAAAUGGAGUUUUUUCUGCAGAACUUUGGUUGGCAGUCUAUUCAGUGAAAAAGCAAAAAAUCUACAGUGUUUGCGGCUUCUGCCCAUAGUUUCUUUGGUAACUCAUUUUUAUGCAGCACACACCUUGUAAUUUUCAUAAUGCUUCUGUUUUUCUUUCACUUUUAACGUUCUGUUGUGGAAUGUACGAUGUUGAGAACUGAUGUUCAAUACCUACUUUGUCAUAGAAUUUUUUGGAACUAUCACAAGUGUAUUCCUUUCCAUUAUCUGACCUUAUUAUCUGCAUCCUGCAACCACUUUGAUUCUCCACCCAUGUUUUAUAAGUCCAAAAUACAUUAGCAACCUCAAAUUUAAAUUUGAUCAAUAAAUGCAAUAUAGUAGUAUUUCCAUUUAAAGAAUAUGUUUUUGAGGUUUUCCAACAUCUGUGUGUAUUAGUUGAAGCUUGCGUGUUGCUCUCCACGUAGUUUGAGACAAAGGUCUUCUAAUUUGUUUGCCAUAUUAACAAGCCACACAAUCAAAUAAUCUAUCUUCCAGCACUGGUAGCCCUUCACCAGAUUGUGUUUCUGCAUAUAUAGAAGUCCAGUAUGAUGGAAAUGCCAUAAUUCUUCAUUGCUUGCCCUACUUGGAAAUGCUAUUUGCUCAUCCUCCAUUAGAUUCAAAGAAAAACUUUUUGCUCUCAUUUUUACCUUAAAUACAUCUCUACUUUUUGCAUCUUUGAUCAUGCACCAUUUAUCAUCAACUAUGACAUUGAAACUUUUCUCAAUCAGCUGUCCAACACUAAGCAGGUUUUGGUCAAUGUCGAGUACAUAUAAAACAUCAGUGAUAUACUUCAAACCUGAUAAACUUUUUAUAGCCACGGUUCCUUUGCCCUUGACUGAUAUUCACCAUUUCUAGUUUUUACUUUGGAAAUAAUAGCUUUGUCAAGCUCGUUGAAGAGCUCCCGGUCAUUGGUCAUAUGGUGUGUGCAACCAUUAUCAAUCAACCAAGAUCACUAGAGCUAUUGCUUAUUGCAAAACAUGUUACAACAAACAGCUACUCCUCUUGAUGUUCCUCAACAACAACAUUUACUUUACCUUCGUGCUGUUGUGACCUGCAGAUCCUCUGCAUGUGUCCAGUUUGUUCACAUUUCCUGCAUUUGAUGUCAGGUCUCCACGAGCACUUUCUUUGAGGAUGUUUUGUUUUCUUGCAAUAUGGACAUGAUGGAUAAGUCUCCUCUUUCUUGGCUUCCAGCUUGUUGAAUUUUCUGGUUUCUUGUUGUAUUUUUUGUUAUAUUUCUUGUCUUUGCCUUCUCUUGAGUUUUGUGCUUUUGCAUGAAAAACACCUUGCACAGUUUCCUCUUGUCUCAUCAAUCUACUUUGCUCUAGUGCCUGCAAGACAUUCACUAAUUCUUCCAAGGAAAUGGUUGAUAAGUCCUUUGACUCUUCUAAUGAGAAUAUCUUGGACUCAUAUUUUUCAGGCACGAUGACAAGUACUUUUUACACAAUUCUUUCAUCAGGAAAAUCCUUACCAAGCAGCCUUACCUUAUUUACAAUGUUCGGAAACUUUUCAGCAUAAUCUUUGAUGUUUUGUGUCUCCUUCAUUCUCUACAUUUCGAAUUCUCUAAUCAAGUUAAGCACCUACAUGCUUUUGGUUCUUUGGCUGCCUUUGUAUUCUGAUUUGAGAUAAUCCCAUAUGUCCUUUGCAGAUUCCAUUUUCAUGAUCCUCGUCAUUAUUGAGCUUGAUACAGCAGAGAAUAGGCGGAUUUUAGCUUUAGACUUCCUUGUCUUUUUUUCUGUGUGAAUCUUCAUUUGAGUCAUCGUAGGAUUUGCAGGUAGUGGAGGAAUGUCUUAAUCUUCCUCUACAACCUCCCAAAGAUCUAAUGCUUAAAGAUAAACUGUCAUUCUUACAAUCCAAGCUGGUAAUUAUCACCAUCAAAAACUGGUGGUGCAAUAUGUGAGAAAUUAAUGUCUCGAAUUCCAUGCUUGGCAAGUGUUUAUGUUUCAGGUUUUGUGUCUGUGAACUUACUUAACUCACAAAUCCCUCAAAAAAAUUGCUCUGAUACCAAUUUGUUGUUAUUUGAACAACAAAAUAGAAGAAAACAAAAAGACUGCAGGGAAUUUUUUUCUUAUUCAUUUCAUAACUCUUAAAUAGAGUUCUAUUUAACAGAAACACUAACAAUAUUCCUAAAAUCAAGCCAAUGAAUUCAAAAAUAAAACAGUAAUAACAAAAUCCUAUAAUCUUGGUCUUUUAACAGCUAUCAUACUUAAUUCACGAUAUAAGUUGAAAUGAUUCGAAUUAUCUUAGGAACAUAUAUGGUCAUUCUUCUGUACUGCAAUAAUAAAUCAUGUUGCAGGGCUUCGAGCCAAGUUUCUAACACAGAUUUCUACACACUUCAAAUCACAGAGAUGCUAUAGAAUUUCUUGGAGAAGAACCAUUCCUUUAUCUCCCUUCUUCAUGAAGCAUAAGCAAUGGUUCAGAAACAUCAAAAUACAUAUCCAAUGUCCUAUUUUAUUAGGGACUGAAAACCAUAAGUCUCAUUGACUACUUCACAUUUAUGCAUGUGAAAUUCUCAACUGGUUAUAUAUCUGUAGAAUACUGUUGCUCAUCAUCACCCAUUGCGAAAAGUUUGGCUUCCAAAGCCUUGAGAUCUUGAGGAUGCAUAGUCUCUCUUCAAGUUCUGCUAGGGUUAUGUCAUGUACACUCAAGUAGAUAUUGUAUUCCAAAUGCAUAUUUCGUUGAGCUUUUAAUGCAGCUCUUAUAUUUACCCUUGUCAAAGACUCGUCAUCAACUUCAAUCUUGCUGAUUAUACUUCCAUCUAUAUAAACAAAUAGACUAGAACAUCUCUUAUGUACAUCAGGGUUUACAUCUUCGUGUACAUAAUGUCUAAGUGGCAUUUCAUCAUUGGCUGGUGAAUAGUGCUCAAUGCCUAAUUCCAUCUUCUCUAACAUUAGCAGCUUCAUAGCUAACAGGUGUAGAACAUUCCAAAAGGCUUGAAGAGUAGGCUUGGAGUAUAUGGAUUUCUGCAAGCUCUCAUCACAGAAACAAUAGGCCAAUUUCAAUAUCUUAAUAGCAAGUCCUUCCCAGAUAUGAUCAUGGUAAGAGUUUGUGUGCUUGUUAGACCGCAAUAUAUGAUUCAGUUGAGAAGACCACGUGCAAGGUGGUUUAAGGCCAAAUAAUUGGUGAAUUUGCUAAUCAAAUUAGAUAAUAAAUAGUUGAGAAGUAUCAAAAUCCACUCUCAAGGACUGCAUAAAGUAGAAUCACAUUGGUUUUGUAUCAAUGGCGAAUCUAGGAAUUGGAUCCAGCUAGGGCGGUCGUAAUAAUGACAUCGUUUAUUAAAUACGAUCAUGCAUAUUACUAUAUUGUCGAUAUAUUUUUAGAAAUUGUUUCCACCAUCCUUUUUUUUUUUCAAUAGUUACUAUAAAAAAUUGGAAUAUAUUUUCAAUUAGCCAAGAAUAGAUUCCUGGUAUAAUGGACAAGAUUUCAACUUUUGUUCAUUCUUAAUAAACAGAAAAUACAGAUAGGGAGAGUCUGAACUGAAAAUUCCAAGACGCUGGACUCUAAGAAUAAGCUAAGUUCUGGAUCCAAUUCGAAAAAAAGGAAAUACGAAGGCCAAAUUCCCUUUGAAAAUUCUAAGUUCUACCCAUUAUUAAUGUAUUUCAUUCAUAUUCAAAAGCUAUAUAAAAUUUGGGUCCAAAAUUUCCAAAUUGUUUAAUAGGAGGAAUUUCUAUUUUCUUAAGAAAUUAACAUAAAAAUAAAUAAAAAUAAAUAAAUAAAUCAUGCAUUAAGAAAUUAGAUUCCACCAUAAAGCACACACGAGGACUUUAUUGUGAAAUCAUAACUCAUAAAUGAUAAUAAAAAAAUGAAUUAAAAGAACAAAUAGAAGAAGAAGCAGAGAGUCAGAGGUUCAUGACACGAGUCACUGUGAAGAUGACAACCGACAACAGGGCAAAGGUUCAGUGAUAGUGGUGAACGUGCUGCACGCAGUGAUUGGGCAGUGGGAGGAUGAGAGAAACCUUAGUCACCAGUUUGGAAAUUGCAAACUGGAAUAGCCGAACAAUUUGGGACUUGGAUUACGAAUUUAGGUAAAAUGGAUUUAUAUAAAUUCCAAUUGAAGUAGCCUGAUUGUAUUUGGGUCUAAUUCCUUUUUUUUCUUUUUUUCUUUUUUCCCAACAACAUUAGACCCAAAAGAGAAGGUCCAAAAUACUGAAUAAGAAAAAUGGUCCAAUCUUCUUAGUCCUUUCGACUUUCAUCUUCCUUCUUAUUCCAUCAGUGGCGGUUCAGGUUUCUAGCUUCUUCCUGGUCGGCUAGCUUCUUGACAAUGACAGUAGAGUCUGGCGGAGCCAGCACACGCGACCUCCUCCCCUCGCCUAGCGCUAGCUCCACCACUGGCAUCAAGAAAUUGAAUUCCACCAUAAAGCAUACACGAGGCCUUUAUUGUGAAAUCAUAACUCUUAAAUGUAAAUCAAAAAAUUAAUUAAAAAAAAAAGAAAAAAAGAAGAGAGUCAGAGGCUCAUGACACACGAGUCACUGUGAAGAUGGCAACCGGCAACAGGGCAAAGGUUGAGUGUCGGUGGUGAGCACGUUGCACGAAGUGAUAAGGCAGUGAGAGGAUUGGAGAAAGCUCAAUCACCGGUUGGAAAUUGCAAAUUGGAAUAGCCGAACAAUUUGGGACUUGGAUUAGGAAUUUAG